AUGGACGCAAGUCUGAUGGAGCAACGCCGCGUGAGUGAAGAAGGGUUUCGGCUCGUAAAGCUCUGUUGGUAGUGAAGAAAGAUAGAGGCAGUAACUGGCCUUUAUUUGACGGUAAUUACUUAGAAAGUCACGGCUAACUACGUGCCAGCAGCCGCGGUAAUACGUAGGUGGCAAGCGUUGUCCGGAUUUAUUGGGCGUAAAGCGAGUGCAGGCGGUUCAAUAAGUCUGAUGUGAAAGCCUUCGGCUCAACCGGAGAAUUGCAUCAGAAACUGUUGAACUUGAGUGCAGAAGAGGAGAGUGGAACUCCAUGUGUAGCGGUGGAAUGCGUAGAUAUAUGGAAGAACACCAGUGGCGAAGGCGGCUCUCUGGUCUGCAACUGACGCUGAGGCUCGAAAGCAUGGGUAGCGAACAGGAUUAGAUACCCUGGUAGUCCAUGCCGUAAACGAUGAGUGCUAAGUGUUGGGAGGUUUCCGCCUCUCAGUGCUGCAGCUAACGCAUUAAGCACUCCGCCUGGGGAGUACGACCGCAAGGUUGGAACUCAAAGGAAUUGACGGGGGCCCGCACAAGCGGUGGAGCAUGUGGUUUAAUUCGAAGCAACGCGAAGAGCCUUAGCAGGUCUUGACAUCCAGUGCAAACCUAAGAGAUUAGGAGUGCC
rnacentral:rRNA from 1 species